UUGUUAAAAUUAAUUGACUUUUAGUUUGCCUAUACAUCAUACUGUGUUGUGAUGGAGUGUUCCGAUAUGUUGUCCAAGUAUAAAUUCUAUUGUAAUGGUUAUGCUCUGUCAUAACAUUGUUUAUUAUAUAACUUCAAAAUUUUUGAGGCAAUGGCUUAUGACUCUCAUGCUUCACAGUUUCAGGUACAAUUUGCUAUUGAAAUGGAAUAUCAUUUUUAUAUAGGUGGAAGACAAUAACUAUUAGCGUUGCAACCAGAGUUGCUUAGUGCUAAGCAACUCUUUACAAUGAUUUACAAGCAUUGAAAAGGCAUCUGCAAAAAAAGUGUGGCAUUCCUAGCCCAGGAUAACUACUUUUUGCCUGGAUUCUAAAGCUCAAUAUAACUAUUUCAAAGGGUCUCCUUAUCUUUAAAGAGCAGUGAUUUCAAGGAUAUUGAACUAUUAUUAUUUUAAUUGUGUAAUUAAAUGAAAUCAGUAUCUCAGUAUAGUGUUGCAUGCAAUA